rnacentral:rRNA from 1 species
UACGGAGGGGGCAAGCGUUGUUCGGAGUUACUGGGCGUAAAGGGCGCGUAGGCGGCGCAUCAAGUCAGGCGUGAAAGCCCCGGGCUUAACCUGGGAAUUGCGCUUGAUACUGAUGUGCUAGAGAGCGGGAGAGGAUGGCGGAAUUCCCAGUGUAGAGGUGAAAUUCGUAGAUAUUGGGAAGAACACCGGUGGCGAAGGCGGCCAUCUGGACCGUUUCUGACGCUGAGGCGCGAAAGCGUGGGGAGCAAACAGG